AUUAAAUAUACACCGGAAAAUCCUACAGAGCCUGUAAACACAAGUGCCGGUCAUUAUGGAGUGGAACAUGCUACAGCUGCCACGACCUCUUCCACAAAGGGAGCAUCAGCUAAUUUUAACAGUCUUUCCAUGACACCCUUUGGAGGGUCCUCUGGGGUGACUCCUUUUGGAGGAGCAUCUUCCUCAUUCUCAGUGGUGCCAAGUUCAUAUCCUACAAGUUUAACAGGUGAGAUUUAAAUGGAUAGUUGCAGGAAAUAUAACCUUGGGCUUUACAUACUUCAGAUCUGGCCAAUGCUAGGGGAAAAAAAAAAAA
rnacentral:lncRNA from 1 species